AACGUACGCUGGCGGCACGCUUAACACAUGCAAGUCGAACGAAGUAGCAAUACUUAGUGGCAGACGGGUGAGUAACAUGUGGGUAUCUGCCCUUUGGCCUGGAAUAACACGAGGAAACUUGUGCUAAUACCGGAUAAGUCUUUACGGAGAAAGCUUUAUGCACCAUUGGAUGAGCCCGCACUUGAUUAGUUUGUUGGUGGGGUAAUGGCCUACCAAGACUGUGAUCAAUAGCUGAUUUGAGAGGAUGAUCAGCCACAUUGGGACUGAGACACGGCCCAAACUCCUACGGGAGGCAGCAGUGGGGAAUCUUGCACAAUGGAGGAAACUCUGAUGCAGCGAUGCCGCGUGAGUGAAGAAGGCCCUUGGGUUGUAAAGCUCUUUCGUCGGGGAAGAAAAUGACUGUACCCGAAUAAGAAGGUCCGGCUAACUUCGUGCCAGCAGCCGCGGUAAUACGAAGGGACCUAGCGUAGUUCGGAAUUACUGGGCUUAAAGAGUUCGUAGGUGGUUGAAAAAGUUAGUGGUGAAAUCCCAGAGCUUAACUCUGGAACUGCCAUUAAAACUUUUCAGCUAGAGUAUGAUAGAGGAAAGCAGAAUUUCUAGUGUAGAGGUGAAAUUCGUAGAUAUUAGAAAGAAUACCAAUUGCGAAGGCAGCUUUCUGGAUCAUUACUGACACUGAGGAACGAAAGCAUGGGUAGCGAAGAGGAUUAGAUACCCUCGUAGUCCAUGCCGUAAACGAUGUGUGUUAGACGUUGGAAAUUUAUUUUCAGUGUCGCAGCGAAAGCGAUAAACACACCGCCUGGGGAGUACGACCGCAAGGUUAAAACUCAAAUGAAUUGGCGGGGACCCGCACAAGUAGUGGAGCAUGUGGUUUAAUUCGAAGAUACGCGCAGAACCUUACCAACACUUGACAUGUUCGUCGCGACUCUAAGAGAUUAGAGUUUUCGGUUCGGCCGGACGAAACACAGGUGCUGCAUGGCUGUCGUCAGCUCGUGUCGUGAGAUGUUGGGUUAAGUCCCGCAACGAGCGCAACCCUCACUUUUAGUUGCCAUCAUUAAGUUGGGCACUCUGAAAGAACUGCCAGUGAUAAGCUGGAGGAAGGUGGGGAUGACGUCAAGUCCUCAUGGCCCUUACGUGUUGGGCUACACACGUGCUACAAUGGUAUCUACAACAGGAAGCAAGACUGCGAGGUCAAGCAAAUCCUUAAAAGAUACCUCAGUUCGGAUUGCACUCUGCAACUCGAGUGCAUGAAGCUGGAAUUACUAGUAAUCGUGGAUCAGCGUGCCACGGUGAAUGCGUUCCCGGGUCU
rnacentral:rRNA from 1 species